GUCUCAGUUCGGAUUGGAGUCUGCAACCCGACUCCAUGAAGCUGGAUUCGCUAGUAAUCGCGCAUCAGCCACGGCGCGGUGAAUACGUUCCCGGGGCCUUGUACACACCGCCCGUCAAGCCAUGGAAGCCGGGGGUGCCUGAAGUGCGCUGCCGCGAGGAGCGCCCUAGGGUAAAACCGGUGACUGGGGCUAAGUCGUAACAAGGUAUC
rnacentral:rRNA from 1 species